rfam:Bombyx mori DNA, contig: Bm_scaf21_contig14785, strain: p50T/Dazao, build 2, whole genome shotgun sequence.
UUAACUCAAAUUUGUAUGGAGUUGGAAAGUUUGCAUGCGUUUGCCGCUAGAGGCUCUGUUCCAACUGCAUACAAAUUCAUAUUC